GACGAACGCUGGCGGCGUGCCUAAUACAUGCAAGUCGAGCGGAUGGAAGGAAGCUUGCUUCCUAAAGUCAGCGGCGGACGGGUGAGUAACACGUGGGCAACCUGCCCCUAAGAUCGGGAUAACUUCGGGAAACCGGAGCUAAUACCGGAUAUGAUUAUGUCUCACAUGAGACAUAAUGGAAAGACGGUUUCGGCUGUCACUUAGGGAUGGGCCCGCGGCGCAUUAGCUAGUUGGUGAGGUAACGGCUCACCAAGGCGACAAUGCGUAGCCGACCUGAGAGGGUGAUCGGCCACACUGGGACUGAGACACGGCCCAGACUCCUACGGGAGGCAGCAGUAGGGAAUCUUCCGCAAUGGACGAAAGUCUGACGGAGCAACGCCGCGUGGGUGAAGAAGGUUUUCGGAUCGUAAAACUCUGUUGUUAGGGAAGAACAAGUACCAUAGUAACUGAUGGUACCUUGACGGUACCUAACCAGAAAGCCACGGUUAACUACGUGCCAGCCGCCGCCGUAAGAC
rnacentral:rRNA from 1 species